CCACCAGGGCUGUCUUCCUGCCAGCUGGCCAGAGAAUGAUAUAGCUCCAAAAUUGAAUUUCCUUGUCUGCUUUCUCAAACGACGCCUGAUACCAUGUGAGAUACUUUGCUCAGGCUUCAGCAAAUCACAGCACUGAGUACGGUGGAACCACCUGACACUCCUACGCACUUUCUGCAAGCUGCAGCAAACACUUGAAAAGGGAAUCAACAAGGAAAGGUAGACAGGAAUGAAGAAAUGAAAUUGGCAAUGCCUUAAGGACUUGACAUGUUAGGAUCCAGUCCUAGUCACUUCUAAAUCUCUGUGAUAAAACACCAUGGCCAAGGGCAAUUUAAAGAGA